UACGUAGGGGGCAAGCGUUAUUCGGAAUUACUGGGUGUAAAGGGUGAGUAGGCGGUUAGGUAAGUCAUAUGUGAAAGCCCGCAGCUUAACUGCGGGAUUGCAUAAGAAACUGUUUAACUAGAGUACAGGAGAGGUAAGCGGAAUUCCUAGUGUAGCGGUGAAAUGCGUAGAUAUUAGGAAGAACACCAGUGGCGAAGGCGGCUUACUGGACUGAAACUGACGCUGAGUCACGAAAGCGUGGGGAGCGAACAGG
rnacentral:rRNA from 1 species